AAUAAAUAAAAUGACAGAAUUAUUCCUACAGAUUAAAAGAAAAAACAAAAAUAAAAACCUCACCCAAUCCUCCAGACAACCGUUUCUCCUUCCUCCUUCCUAGUGUCCCCCGUCAGUUCACCCCAUUUCGCCGGCGUCACUCUCUUGCUUGGCGUCGAGUUCGCCGUCGACGAGGAAGCUUUGCCACCGUUUCUCCAGUGUUUCGCAUACGGGGAUACUAAAUAAGAGCAAAUUGGUUGAUAUUGAUGCUGGAAACAGGGGCUACCUACCCUCCGAAUAAGAUCUGCUACAUAUACUAUCAUCUACUCCUAGACAUCCAAACCUCAUUGAGCACACCAGUGAGAAAGCCAAGGAAGCUAAAGAUAUACAAGUGAGAAAGCUAGUGGAUACAGAACAGAAACUCUUGGAAGCAAAAGGAAAUGCAGAUCAAGUUAUAGUGUUGUGUUUUAAAUUGUAGUAGGAGCAUUUGUUUGUAUUUGUGAAUGUUAUAAAAGCAAGUAUAUGAAUGAAUUAGAUUGGCUGGUUUGUUGACAUUGAAUUCUUGAAAUUAGAUUGUCUAACCAUAUAUAUCCAUCAGAACUCCUCUCCCCAUUACUAGAAACAAAACCCAACUUUCAUAAAUAAAUGACUUAACUCACCAUGUUAA